CAGCAGCCAUCCUUUAAAGAAAGCGUAACAGCUCACUGGUCUAAAUAAGCUGUCUUGCGACGAAGAUGUACCGGGGAUUAAGCCAUAUACCGAAGCUCGGAGUUUGCAGUUUACUGCAAGCGGUAGCGGAGCGUUCCGUAAGUCUGUGAAGGGUAACCGUGAGGUUGCCUGGAGAUAUCGGAAGUGAGAAUGCUGACAUGAGUAGCGAUAGAAAGUGUGAGAAACACUUUCGCCGAAAGUCCAAGGGUUCCUGCGUAAAGCUAAUCUGCGCAGGGUUAGCCGGCUCCUAAGGCGAGGCCGAAAGGCGUAGUCGAUGGGAACCACGUUAAUAUUCGUGGGCCAGUGGGUGGUGACGGAUUCCGUAUGUUGUAUGAUCUUAUUGGAUUGAUUGUGCAGCGAAGGGGUUCCAGGAAAUAGCCCCCACAUUAAUGACCGUACCCGAAACCGACACAGGUGGACUGGUAGAGCAUACCAAGGCGCUUGAGAGAACGAUGCUGAAGGAACUCGGCAAAUUACACCCGUAACUUCGGAAGAAGGGUGACCUCAAGGCGGGCAACCGUCUUGUGGUGGCACAGAGUAGGGGGUAGCGACUGUUUAUUAAAAACACAGGUCUCUGCGAAGCCCAAAGGCGACGUAUAGGGGCUGACGCCUGCCCGGUGCUGGAAGGUUAAGAGGAGGGGUGCAAGCUCUGAAUUGAAGCCCCAGUAAACGGCGGCCGUAACUAUAACGGUCCUAAGGUAGCGAAAUUCCUUGUCGGGUAAGUUCCGACCCGCACGAAUGGCGUAACGACUUCCCCACUGUCUCCAGCAUCGACUCAGCGAAAUUGAAUUCCCCGUGAAGAUGCGGGGUACCCGCGGUCAGACGGAAAGACCCCAUGAACCUUUACUAUAACUUUGCAGUGGCAUUAGGAAAUGGAUGUGUAGGAUAGGUGGGAGGCUUUGAAGCAUCGGCGCCAGCCGGUGUGGAGCCAUCCUUGAAAUACCACCCUUUUGUUUCUUGAUGUCUAACCGCGACCCAUUAUCUGGGUCCGGGACCCUGCAUGGCGGGUAGUUUGACUGGGGCGGUCGCCUCCCAAAGCGUAACGGAGGCGUGCGAAGGUAAGCUCAGGAUGGUCAGAAAUCAUCCGUAGAGUGCAAUGGCAAAAGCUUGCCUGACUGCGAGGCUGACAAGCCGAGCAGAGUCGAAAGACGGUCAUAGUGAUCCGGUGGUUCCAAGUGGAAGGGCCAUCGCUCAACAAAUAAAAGGUACUCUGGGGAUAACAGGCUGAUGGUGUCCAAGAGUCCAUAUCGACGACACCGUUUGGCACCUCGAUGUCGGCUCAUCUCAUCCUGGGGCUGGAGCAGGUCCCAAGGGUAUGGCUGUUCGCCAUUUAAAGAGGUACGUGAGCUGGGUUUAGAACGUCGUGAGACAGUUCGGUCCCUAUCUGCCGUGGGUGUAGGAAAUUUGAGAGGAUCUGACCUUAGUACG
rnacentral:rRNA from 1 species